UUCUAUUGACGUCACUGCCUUAGGAUAAGGACAUGAUAUGUGAGCCGAUGUUCAUGGKUCAGCAGAGAAUAGCUUAGAAUUUCAAGAUGGCGUCCAAAGGACAAGGAGUGACUGCUAACGAGGAAAAGAUAUUGAAGCAUGCCGCACAACAAAUACAGAAAGCAAAGAUACCACCAACUUAUAAAAGAAAGAAUGCGUUUGUCUUCAUAGGGCUGUUAUCCUCAGUCAUCGGAAUAUAUGCAUAUUCUAUGUAUUCGAUUAAGCAAGAAAAGAUCGACUUUGAUAAAGAUUAAUCUUGUAAGAUUACCACUGGAAAAAGGAAGUAAAAGAAGCCAAACAGAACAGGAAUUUUUUUAAGUACUAAGAUGAAAUGGUACAUUUGAAAGAAAGCAUUUUUUUACCACAAUACUAUCAAGGACAGAAAAAAAGAAUAUUCAUGCCCUGUGUUGAAGGAAAAAGGAAAAUUAUACAACUAUAUAAUAAUCUUCCUGCAGUAAAUUUGUAAGAUUUUCUUUUUUUUCAUGGUUCAUUCAAAAGAAACUUUGGUGGAGCGAUAUCUGCAAAAGUUUUCAUUGUAAAUAAUAUAGCAAGGUUUUUUGGUUUUCACACUUAAAUAAAUGGAGCUUGACAUUUUGGCAACACUGGUGGCUGCCUUCAUUUGUAAAAAAUGGUAAAAAAGUAGUAUAGCAGGAAAUGAUAGGUGAGCAGAGGAGUAAAAACAAUAAAUGUGAAGAGUAUUGCURUUUUA